GGUCCCAUAGCUCAGUAGGUUAGAGCGUCGUACUAAUAAUGCGAAGGUCUCAGGUUCGAGCCCUGGUGGGACCA
rnacentral:tRNA from 1 species